rnacentral:rRNA from 1 species
UGUUUCGGCAAGGGGGUCAUCCCGACUUACCAACCCGAUGCAAACUGCGAAUACCGGAGAAUGUUAUCACGGGAGACACACGGCGGGUGCUAACGUCCGUCGUGAAGAGGGAAACAACCCAGACCGCCAGCUAAGGUCCCAAAGUCAUGGUUAAGUGGGAAACGAUGUGGGAAGGCCCAGACAGCCAGGAUGUUGGCUUAGAAGCAGCCAUCAUUUAAAGAAAGCGUAAUAGCUCACUGGUCGAGUCGGCCUGCGCGGAAGAUGUAACGGGGCUAAACCAUGCACCGAAGCUGCGGCAGCGACGCUUAUGCGUUGUUGGGUAGGGGAGCGUUCUGUAAGCCUGUGAAGGUGUGCUGUGAGGCAUGCUGGAGGUAUCAGAAGUGCGAAUGCUGACAUAAGUAACGAUAAAGCGGGUGAAAAGCCCGCUCGCCGGAAGACCAAGGGUUCCUGUCCAACGUUAAUCGGGGCAGGGUGAGUCGACCCCUAAGGCGAGGCCGAAAGGCGUAGUCGAUGGGAAACAGGUUAAUAUUCCUGUACUUGGUGUUACUGCGAAGGGGGGACGGAGAAGGCUAUGUUGGCCGGGCGACGGUUGUCCCGGUUUAAGCGUGUAGGCUGGUUUUCCAGGCAAAUCCGGAAAAUCAAGGCUGAGGCGUGAUGACGAGGCACUACGGUGCUGAAGCAACAAAUGCCCUGCUUCCAGGAAAAGCCUCUAAGCAUCAGGUAACAUCAAAUCGUACCCCAAACCGACACAGGUGGUCAGGUAGAGAAUACCAAGGCGCUUGAGAGAACUCGGGUGAAGGAACUAGGCAAAAUGGUGCCGUAACUUCGGGAGAAGGCACGCUGAUAUGUAGGUGAGGUCCCUCGCGGAUGGAGCUGAAAUCAGUCGAAGAUACCAGCUGGCUGCAACUGUUUAUUAAAAACACAGCACUGUGCAAACACGAAAGUGGACGUAUACGGUGUGACGCCUGCCCGGUGCCGGAA